UCAACUACGUCACUGAAAUGAGGCAUGCUGGGACCGGUCGCGAUUUUGUGGUACCAUCGCCGCUCUGCUGCGUACUUUCUCAAGGCUUACGCUGUGAUUUUUACCCGCUGAUUCUUUCCUCAUGGGAUUUUGUGACAUUAUCGGGUGCAGUAAUCGCACUCAGAUGAAGAAGCUGAAGGCUAGGAGCAAUCAGCCAGACCCUCACUUCUUCAAAAGACCGAACUAAACCAGUCAAAAGACACGGAAGUUCUCAAAAAGGCGUUGCCGUGAAUGGUUGUCACGCAUAAACAACAAGACCUGACCAUCACCAACAUAAUGGUGCCCCAUUCUGUAUCUUUGAACACUCUGUGCGGGUUGCUGUAAAUGCUCCUUUGUCCCAUGUGAAGAAUGAUCUUCCACAGUUUGCAUCUUGAGUAGUUGCAGGAUCUCUUGCACGUUUGUACUGACUGUUCGUCCGCUCCCCUCACACACAUCCUAUCAUCUACACACUUCAAAACUAAAUGGACAAUGUAACUGGACAAUUUGCAGGAUCUCCAUCACAACUCUUCGACGAAUGCAACCCUGAUUGGGCACCUUGCCUGCAUUUAGGCUAUGACAGCAGAGGUGCUACCACUAAUGGAAGCCGCAACAAAAGGCUCAAGCAGCUUCAGUCAGCUGAUGCCAAACUGGAUUGACAUGUGCUGACAUCACAAAGAUGGAAGGAGAGCUUGUGCACCAUAGUGCAGGAACUUGCCAGCUUAGAGACACAGUAAAGGCAACGAAAUUCACAGAGGAGGCACUGCAAAGUGACGCAACAAAGUGUCCUUGUACACUGAACUACCAUCAUUUCUGGUCCUCAUGCAAGUGUCCAAUAUUUUGGAACAGCAUAUGCAGCAAACCUGUGCCAACACCUUAACAAGUUUUGAAGAAAUGAUGGUGUUCCUCAUGCGCCUGAGACUACGGAUUUGUAUGCAAGGGCUCUCUUUACAUUCCACCAUUCAACAGGGGAAAGCGUCCAUUGAGUGCCAAUGAAGUUGAGCACAUGAAACAGCUUGCAAACGUCCGGACCCAUGCUGAAAGAGUGAUCGGACUGGUUAGGAACAAGUACGUGAUUUUGAAACGUUGUCGAUCGGUUCAGCUAUUGAGGGCAUCUAAGGAUGGUAAAUCACUGAUCGACAAAAUUGCUGUCUUGUGCUGUGCUCUAACGAAUCUCUGUAACUCAGUCGUGCCUAGAGAUUAAUCUGGACAUUGUUGCUCGUACUCUCAAAUCUUGCUAGCUGGACACACAGUUUGCAACUGUUUUGCUUGGAAAUAAUUAUGCGGUGAUGAAUACAACAGGAGCGUACUGAGUAAAGCUGUUGAAUUCGACAUGCCCACGUAAGUGGGAAAUGCUGCGUCAGCCUUUUGGGCUUGAGGAGAAAGUGAAUGUCCAAAUUGCACAGUUACUUCCUUUUUUAGACAACAUCACCAACGUCUGACCAUGUCAUCAUUCGGUAGUGACGGUCACACAGACCAUUUGAAAAUAGGGUGGCUGGUCGUAACAUAAUUAGCUGGCAGCUAACAUUCAGGUUUAACUCUAGAAUGGUAUGGAUCGAUAACCCUAGCCGGUGCCACAUUGAAAAUGUGGAAUUUGCAAUAUAGAAAAGAGUGGAAAGUUGAAGUGGAAAUUCUGGUGUCGGCACCUUUUUCCCGAGUGGUUAGAGUGAGCGCUAUUCUUAUUUUGACGUUAACAGACUUGUCUUGUAACGAUAUGCUGUCUUGAAUGAAAACAACUCUAUGUGUGAUGAAAUGGUUUUUAUGAUUUGGCACCAAUAAAGUCUGCAUUACCAACA